rnacentral:lncRNA from 1 species
GGAGAGCAAUGAUACCUAUCCAGAAGGGUUUCCAGUAGGGAAAUCAGACAUAUUAUGAGCAUAGCUAUUUCAUCUGCUUGCUUAAAGAAAGAAUCAAGCCUGAAUAUGUGAGAUUAGUAAGACUGAGCAAAUUGUGUGGAUCUGCUGGGGUUACUGUAUUUGAGAAAGGAUUAUGCAGCACAGAGAAACUGAGCAUUUCUACUCACAUAGCUUUUAUAAACCUGUUCUGUUUUCUCCAGUAAAGUUGCUUUGCAGGCUGGAUUACUGACACCAGCAAGUCACAUACACUCAACCUUGAAUCUUUCCUGACAAAGUUUUUAUGCACCUGUGAGCUAAUAGCACACACAGACACUAAAAAACAAGUAAAGCUGUCAUUGGCACUGUGAGAAUGGAUGAAGACAUGGCCUUCAAGGAAGGGUCCAGUGACCAAAGUAUUUGAGAGAUGUUUGAGAAGAGCUACUCUUCAAAUAUACACCAAAAAAAAAAAAAUAAUGCAGGAAAAACAGUGUUUUCUCCUUUCUUUUGUAGUGGGCAAGAAGUAAUUAGUUUAAAUUCUUAAAUUGCUCAAGAGAGCAGUUGAGAAUUGACAUGAGGAUAAAAUUUUUGAACAGCAAGCACAGUGACGUAUUGGACCAGUUUACCAAAAAAGAAUGAGGGCUCUUUAAGAACAGGUUGCAGAAUUCUGUUGUGAUUUAGACUGUCUGGAAUGAAGAGCAAGAAGAAGGAUUUUGAAGAUUCUAUUCCUGUAGGGGUCUUUAAAACUGAAGCAUGAACAGCAUCACAGUGCAGCUGAUAUUCUGCUCAUACCUGAUCAACAUCUUGAAGCCCAAUGGGACAAACUUCUACUCAAGAAACCUGCUUAUAGAAUAUUUUUUAUAUUAUUACCUGAUGUGUAAGACAAUUUUAUUACAAAAGUGAUCCAAUAGGCACAGACAUAGUGGGGUUAUAAUUUCUUUGAGUAAUACAUGAGUUUCUGCACAGAGCACAGAGGCCAGAAGGGGUCCAAAGACAGCUGUGGUAAACUUUCCUUUUGUUCUUUGUAUAAAACAAACCAUUUUUGCUUCUUUAAUUCACCAUAGUUUAUACAUAGCUGUUAACAUAGAGUUAUAAUAAAAUAACGCAGAAUCUAUGGACA